CAGCAGCCGCGGGAAAACGUAGGUGGCAAGCGUUGUCCGGAAUUAUUGGGCGUAAAGGGCUCGCAGGCGGUUUCUUAAGUCUGAUGUGAAAGCCCCCGGCUCAACCGGGGAGGGUCAUUGGAAACUGGGAAACUUGAGUGCAGAAGAGGAGAGUGGAAUUCCACGUGUAGCGGUGAAAUGCGUAGAGAUGUGGAGGAACACCAGUGGCGAAGGCGACUCUCUGGUCUGUAACUGACGCUGAGGAGCGAAAGCGUGGGGAGCGAACAGGAUUAGAUACCCCUGUAGUCCCUGUCUCUUAUAU
rnacentral:rRNA from 1 species